ACAUAUUAUCUUCAUUCCCUCGCUCUCAAACAAACAAAAGAAAAGCAGAAGUUAAAGGAACAGACCACUGUUUAUUUCAUCCAUUUCAGCCUGUAGUUCUAAAUUGAUCGACAGUAAAUAAGAAUUAUGAGUCGGGUUCUGGAUUUCUUCUUAGAAUACUCUUUACCGAGAAUAUCAGAUUUCCACAAUGGCUGUACAAGGUUUCAAGAUUUGCAACAAAUUAGUUCACGUUCGUCUUAUGGGAAGCCUUCUGCAGUCCAAAGUUGUAAAAGGGUUCAAUUUUCACUAGAAGCUUUAAAUCUGGAGGUAGCUGAUCAUGCUGAUUUGCAUUCACUUCCAGAUGAGGCAGAUUGCCGUAUUUGCUAUUGUUAAAGAAUCUGAGAUUAGAAUCAAGCCAAUGGAAAUUGUGGGGCUGUGUAUUAAUCAUUAGUAAGUGCCUUUGUAUCUCCUAAUCAAUAAUUGUGGAGUAAUGUAUAUAACAACUGGUGUUGGCUGAAAUUAGUACUCAGCGCCCAUUUAAAAGUCUUGCAUUCGUCAAGGAGAUAUGUCGGUAAGUGAAUAUGUGCUCUGACGUUAGGUUGCAUUUCAGAUGCUUACAUCGAUUUUGUUACGUAUGUUAAAAGAGUUGAAGUCUCUGGAAAAUUUGGUUUUACUUUAAGUACCGGGUUUGUUGUGGUUGUUUAUCCGAUAGUAUUAUUAACUCACUUAUAUUCAGCAGCCGCAAAGUUUUGGUUCAACAGCUAAGGUAGUGCAGCGCUCGCAUGUCACGAAUUGGAAGCCUAGCUUUUGAACCAAGACAGGUAUUAAGUGGAGAAGGGUAGAGUGGUGGGCCUAGUACGCACUGACUUUCGAAGCUAAACAACAAUGAAUUUCUCAGUCAUAAAAAAAGUCAUGUUUUGUACGCCACAUGUUAUAAUUUUCUGCAAUGAUUAAAACUUGACUUUCUAGUUUGAGUGUUGUUAGCUCAGCAAUAAAUUAGGGAAGUAUUAAUAUAUCAAAGUGCUCCUUUACUUUACCUGAUGCACUUUUGAAUGGGCAUGAAGAUUAGGUGUUUACAUCAUUACAUGCAUGUUUGGUUAGAUGGCUUAUGUGAUCAUCAACUGAAAAAGCUUGAUCGUUCCUUACUAGUUUUACUGGUUUCAUGUUGUGAUACAUACUAUCAUUAUCUAAAGAAGAUGAAUCUUCGAAACUUCAAAAUAGAUUUUGAGCAAUUGAAUCAUAGAAGCAAGAGGAUAUUCAUACGUCUAAGAUCUCUUAUGUAUAUAAUGCUCUUUCUGAAAGCUCCUUAGACUUGAAAUUGAUGUAGAAUUUAAUCUGAUAGCUUUAAUUCUACCAGCUUAUUUGAAAAAUUGAUUGGGAAUGUAAAAAACAUAAGAAACACAUAAAAAAAUAACGUGAUAAUUGUAGAUUUCAAGAAGAAGAAUGAAACUUCUUGUAUUUCAGUAUGUUUUUACAUCCAAUGAGCACUAGUAUUUAUACAGAGGUUCCUAUGGCUAAUUUAGGAAAGGAAAUCAAUUACAGUUAUUACACAAAUCAAUUAGAAUAAAAUCUCCUAGAAUUGAAUCAAAUCUCCUAAAAUUAAGUUUCUUACAAUCAAGCUAGUCAACAUAAUCAAAUCUCCUAAAAUUAAGUUUCCUACAAUCAAGCUAGUCAACACUCCCCCUCAAGUUGGUGCAAAGAUGUCACACAUGCCAAACUUGCAAACCAAAGUGUGGAAGGUUCGUCUGUUGAGACCUUUUUUAUGCACAUCAACUAGUUGUUUCUCUGAUGAUACAUGAAGUAUAGUCAAGACACCAUCUGUGAUCUUUUCGUUGAUGAAAUGUCGAUCAAUUUCAACAUGUUUCGUUCGGUCAUACUGAACAGGAUUAUGAGCUAUGCUGAUUGCAGCCUUGUUAUCACAAUACAAGGAAAGUUUCCCUUUUUCAGACAAUUUCAAUUCCUCUAGUAGCUUUUGCAACCACAAAAGUUCACAAACACCCUAGGCCAUAGCUCUAUAUUCUGCCUCGGCACUUGAUCUGGCAGCUACACUUUGCUUCUUGCUUCUCCAAGUAACCAAGUUCCCUCCUACGAGUGUACAAUAACCGGAUGUGGACCUUUUGUCAUCUAGAGAACCAGCCCAAUCUGCAUCUGUAUAAGCUUCUCCACGGAGGUGACCGUGUUUGGAGAAAAGGAGACCUUUGCCUGGAGCAGACUUUAAAUACCGCAAAAUGUGGAAGACAACUUGCAUAUGAGAAUCCCUAGGAUCAUGCAUGAACUGACUUACCAGGCUGAUUGAGUAAGCUAUACCUGGUCUAGUGUGGGAGUGAUAAAUGAGUCUUCCAACCAAGCUCUGAUAUCUCUCCUUAUCAACAGACUCUCCAACUCCUGUUUGUAACUUGUGAUUGCUUUCAAUAGGCGAUUUUGCUGGUUUGCAUCCUGUCAUAUCAGUUUCUUUCAAGAGAUCCAAAAUAUACUUUUUUGAGAAAUAAAGAUUCCCUUUUUCAAUCUGGCAACCUCAAUUCCCAAGAAGUACUGUAAUUUUCCAAGAUCAUUGAUCUCGAAUUCCUGUGCCAACAAGUUCUUCAACCGAACAAUUUCCUCUUUGUCAUCUCUUGUCAUUACUAUAUCAUCAAUAUAAACUAUGAGAAGAGUGAUUUUACCGCUUGAUGUCUUAUGAAGAGAGUAUGAUCGGCAUUGCUAUGUUGGUAUGGUAACCAAAAGAGAUCAUUACUUUACAAAAUCUGUCAAACCAAGCUCUAGGGGAUUGUUUCAAUCCGUACAGGGCUUUCUUCAAUCUGCACACCUUCCCUUGACUAUGUUCAGUAUCAAAUCUAGGAGGAAUCUCCAUAUACACUUCUUUUUCCAAGUCUCCACGAAGAAAAUCAUUCUUCACAUCAAACUGUUGUAAGUCCUUAUCAAGAUUAGCUGCACAAGAUAAAAGAAUUCUCAUAGUGUUCAUUUUAGCAACAGGGGCAAAUGCUUCUUGAUAGUCCACUUCAUAAGUUUGAGUGAAUUCCUUGGCCACCAAUCUUGCUUUGAAUCUUUCAACUGAGCCAUCAACUUUGUGUUUCACAAUGAAGACCUAUUUGUAGCCAACCAAAUUCUUGUCUGGGGUUGAUGUGCUCCCAAGUGCCAUUUUUUGACAAGGCCUUCAUUUCUUCAAUCAUAGCUUGCUUCCAUUUAGGAUCUGCAAAAGCUUCCCUCCAAUUCUGGGGAAUAGACAUAGAAGAAAUAGACAAGGCAAAGACUCUAUAGGACGGAGACAAAGAAUUAUAGGAGACAAAAUUGGAUAAAGGGUGUUUAGUGGUGCAAGAUCUGACUGCUUUUCUGUGAGCAACAUGCAAAUUUAACUUAUUAGAAAAUGUAGAUAAUUCACCAUAGAAGAGGGUUCGGCAGAAGAGGAUUCAACUUUAGUAGAUUGCAUGAUGACUUCUUCUGCUCUAUUUCUCCCCGAGUAAGUUAUCAAAUCAGGUCUGUCCAAAUGCCCAAUAGUCUCCCCCUGAAUUCUUUCUCCAAUUUCACUUUCCUUUGUGGUAGUGGUAGUGGUAUCAAUUGUGGCGCUAGGGAGAAUAACCUCUUCCCCAUUAUAGCUCCCCCCUGAAGAUUCAAUGGUGUAAUACUGAAAUAGGGCUCAGACUCUCAAAAAGUAACAUUCAUGCUGACACGGGAUCUCCUAGAGGGAGGAUGAUAGCAUUUGUACCCUUUAUGUGUUGGAGAAUACACGAUAAAGAUACAUUUAAAAGCUUUAGGAUCAAGUUUCCCAGAUUUUCUAGUGUGAACAAAGCAGAGACACCCAAACACCUUCGGAGGAACAACAUAGUAAUUUUUACCUUUUAAAGCUUCCAGAGGACUAUGAAAAUUGAGAGUUUUAAGCGGCAUUCUGUUGAUGAGAUAGUCAACUACUAGAAUGGCAUCCCUCUAGUAAGAUUUUGGUAGAUUCAUGGUAAACAUAAGAGAUCUUGCUACUUUUAACAAAUGCCUAUUCUUCCUUUCAGCAACCCCAUUUUGUGCACUAGUAUAAGGACAACUUGUUUGGUGGAUAAUCCUAUAAGACUCCAAUAAGCACCAAAUUUUCUAUCCAUGUAUUUCGUGCCAUUGUCGGUUCAUAAGAUUUUUAUCUUAGUCUCAAAUUGAUACAAAUCAUCUUAUGAAACAACUGAAAACAGGAGAGAACUUCACUUUUGGCCUUUAACAAAUAUACCUAAGUUAUCCUAGUAUAACAAUCAAUAAAAGUAACAAACCAUUGACUACCAGACAAAGAAACUGUUUGAGUAGGACCCCAUACAUCAGAAUGAAUAGUAGAAAAAGGAGUUGUACUUUUAUUAUCGCUUAAAGGAUAAGAGUUUCUAGUAUGUUUGGCAAAUUCACAAGCAUCACAAAACAGAGAUUCAAACUCGGUUUUAGAAAUCAAACUAGGAUAUAGCUUAUUCAAAGCAAAAAAUUAUGGAUGUCCCAACCGUCUAUGCACUGUAUUAUUUCUUGGUUGACAUCUUUAUUUCCUCCAAAAAAGGCCUGACCAAAGUUUUGAGUUCCAUCAAUCCAAUAUAAGUCAUCAUGCAAUCUAUCAUUGCCAAUCCUCUUCCUUAUUUGAAGAUCCUGGAAAACACAAUGAUCAGGGAAGAAUAAAACACUACAAUUUAGCUUUUUGGUGAUGGCGCUAAUAGAUAACAUGUUAACAGGAAACUCAGGUACAUGGAGAACCGAUGAUAAUGUAAUAUCAGGAAUACGGACAACAGAACCUGUUCCAAGGACAGGAGGUAGAGAAUCAUUGGCUAUUUUGACAUAAUCCCCUUUGGGACUAGGAGAGUAAUUUUGUAAGCCUUUAGAGGAGCCUGUCAUGUGUCUAUUCGCACCCGAAUCAAUAAUCCAAGAAUUAAGGUGAGCAUUAAAGGCAAUACCUAACUGCACAUAGUUGGAACUAGCAAUAUUAGAAAACAUUUUCUGCAAUAUUAACAUGACCCUUUGAUGGACUUGCACGCUUUCCUUCACUACCUCUAGUUGGUCUACCAUGUAGUUUCCAGCAUGUCUCUUUUGUGUGCCUUGGCUUUCCACAAUAAUCACAAUGCAUAUGAUCUUUAUCAGAAAUGAUUGCCCUUGGUUGCUCAUGAGACACAGUUAACCCGGAUUUCUCCGUUGGUGCUGAAUAAAGCAUGACCCCACGCCGACUCUCUUCUUGUUGAACAUAAGAGUAUGCAUCUUCAAGAGAAGGAAGAGGAACUUUACCGAGAUUUUGAACCCUGAUUUGAUCAUAUUCUUGGUUCAAACCGGCCAGAAAAUCAUAGACCCUGUCAUUUUCAACCAAUUGUUGAAAGAGAACUGCAUCAUCAGUACACUUUGCUUAGAGAUCCUAAUAGUAGUCAAUUUUCUUCCAUAAUCCACUUAACUAGGAAUAAUAAUUAAUGACAGUCAACUCACCUUGCUUAGUCGCAUGGAUUUAUUUCGAAUCUCAAAGAUCUGGGCAUCAUUUCCCUUGCGUGAGUAAUGUUACGCCUUCCUGAAGUUCCUUGGAAGGGCGACGUAAGGCUAAGCAACCGAUGUCAGUGCGAUUGUUGUCCGCCAA